CAGUCGCCGCGGUAAUACGUAGGGUGCAAGCGUUAAUCGGAAUUACUGGGCGUAAAGCGUGCGCAGGCGGUUUGUUAAGACAGAUGUGAAAUCCCCGGGCUCAACCUGGGAACUGCAUUUGUGACUGGCAAGCUAGAGUCUGGCAGAGGGGGGUGGAAUUCCGCGUGUAGCAGUGAAAUGCGUAGAUAUGCGGAGGAACACCGAUGGCGAAGGCAGCCCCCUGGGCCAACACUGACGCUCAUGCACGAAAGCGUGGGGAGCAAACAGGAUUAGAUACCCCUGUAGUCCCUGUCUCUUAUAU
rnacentral:rRNA from 1 species